rnacentral:rRNA from 1 species
UACGUAGGUGGCAAGCGUUGUCCGGAAUUACUGGGCGUAAAGGGCGUGUAGGCGGCGAUUUAAGUCAGAUGUGAAAGAUCAGGGCUUAACCCUGGAGGUGCAUUUGAGACUGGAUGGCUUGAGGACCGGAGAGGGCAGUGGAAUUCCCAGUGUAGCGGUGAAAUGCGUAGAUAUUGGGAGGAACACCAGUGGCGAAGGCGACUGCCUGGACGGCACCUGACGCUGAGGAGCGAAAGCUAGGGGAGCAAACGGG